rnacentral:rRNA from 1 species
UACGUAGGGGGGCUAGCGUUGUCCGGAAUCAUUGGGCGUAAAGAGCGCGUAGGCGGCCAGAUAAGUCCGGUGUGAAAGUCAAAGGCUCAACCUUUGAAUGCCGCUGGAAACUGUCUGGCUAGAGUCCGGGAGGGGCGAGUGGAAUUCCUGGUGUAGCGGUGAAAUGCGCAGAUAUCGGGAAGAACACCGUGGCGAAGGCGGCUCUCUGGACGGUACUGACGCUGAGACGCGAAGCGUGGGAGCGAACAGG